AAUUUAACAUAAAUGUUGAUUUAUGUCUAAAUAUUUAAAUCUGCAUAGGAUAAGCUAAACAUCCAUACUUUAUCACUAAAAUGUAUUCUAUCACUUCAAUGAAAUAUGUGUGAAAGUGUUUUACCUCAAGAGUGUUUUUAUAAGCUUUGUAAUGUAGAGAUUUAGAUGUGAUACAAUGCAAAUCAUUGUAAAGAAAAUGUGUGUAUUACUUUGUUCAAUAUAUUAAAUGUUAAAUAGUGUUUUAGUCUAUGUAUUGUUUAUUCAGAUAAUCUAUGGUGUUGCCAUAUAGGCAGUUGGGAUCCACACCCUUGUAUCACCCACAGGGGUGUAUGAUAUAUAGAUCCUUAUCACACUCGACGCAUCGCAAUAAAGACCUCAACCCCGUA
rnacentral:lncRNA from 1 species